rnacentral:tRNA from 1 species
UCUCUCGUAGCUUAGUGAUCAGAGCAUUAAAGUAAAGCCAAAGAUCCCGGGUUCGAUUCCCGGCGAGGGUG